CUUCCCCCUAUUGCACAGAAACCAUCAGGAAGUGCGUCAUAAGCAAGGAAGCACUUCCAGGAAAUGGAGCAAAUGCACCAAAUAAGGAGGGAGGAUAUUAGGGUAAAAAAAAAAAAAAAACAUUCUCUCUUUUGCUUAUUUGUUUUAUCAGAAUGUGCAUAAAGAUAGAACAGAACUAGGAUAUAAAUAUUGAGGAAGACUCUGAGGUAGAUAUCUGAAACUAAGUUCUAGUAGUUAUGUGGGGGAAAAAAGGUUAAGGCUAAAUCUCAGAUGUGCAGUUAUGGCAAUUAGCCUGUGGUGGUGCUCUAGUUCCUAGCAACUGUCAUGUGAUUAAUGUAGUAGCAGCCGUUAGCCAUCAGGUGGCACUGUUAGUUAGGGCACUUCCCAGUAUUCCUGACCCAGCCCUUGCAAGGUACUCAGUGUUGCUAGCGCAGGAAGAGAUGAACUGGACUAUUUGACCCAUAAAAAGUACAUGGGGCUGCGUUCAGUGACUGGAUAUCACAGAGGAGAUAGGGCUGGGAGCGGAGACCGAUGCUGAGUGCUGCAGCUGCUUCUGCGGGACAGGACGACCCCUAUGUGUCCUGCUCACAGACAGAGCUCCCAUGAGACACAAGGGAGGAUGAAUACUCUCUCCUUGCCCCACACCGUCUCCCUCAGCCCACCCCCAUUUUCUCUCCAUCGCCUGGACUGAGUCUGAGGCUGCCACACGCACCGGCUGCAAUGCCCUUCGGCCUUGGACAGUCUGGUUCCAGCUCCACCGAAGCUCUUAAUAACUGAGAAAGCCAAACAUGAGGGCCCGUUGGCUGCAGCCGUACCCAUCAGCCCCCACCCACAGGCCCCCGGACUAACCCACAGGCCUCUCUGUCUGCUGCUGAGCUUUGGAAACAGCUGUGCAGUCAUAACAGAGUGUGUGCCCAGACUCAACUCAUGUUUUUUGUUGCUUCAAAGGCAAUCUGAUACACCAUCCCCUGAAACACGCAGACACAAUCACACGCACAUGCUUGCCCACAUGUAUAUUCACAGCAUGUACAAACAGUGCUAAGAUGAAAUGUUCAGGAUACCAGUCUUGCCAAAUCUAAAACCACAUAAUUAAGAGAAAUUAUCUUAAGUUUAAGGUGCAUAACAUAAACUGGACAACAUGGGUUGAUUUGAAAAUUUACCCUUUUCUAACUACCUAUACAUAUUCACCACAGGUUCUGACUGAAAUGAACACUAGUGGCAGUAAAACACCAACAACUUUUAAUCCUUUUCACACAAAUUGUUUAUGGGGACAGAUCAUCAAUCUCGCAAGGUUCCUCAAACAGUAUCAAGAAGGCUUUUACUAUAAAGCAUGAUUUGUAACCCAUUACAUUUUGACAUUUUUUUCAAUAAAAAACUCAAGCUAUAGUACA
ensembl:lncRNA